rnacentral:rRNA from 1 species
GAUGAACGCUGGCGGCGUGCCUAAUACAUGCAAGUCGAGCGAACGGACGAGAAGCUUGCUUUUCUGAUGUUAGCGGCGGACGGGUGAGUAACACGUGGAUAACCUACCUAUAAUACUGGGAUAACUUCGGGAAACCGGAGCUAAUACCGGAUAAUAUUUUGAACCGCAUGGUUCAAAAGUGAAAGACGGUCUUGCUGUCACUUAUAGAUGGAUCCGCGCUGCAUUAGCUAGUUGGUAAGGUAACGGCUUACCAAGGCAACGAUGCAUAGCCGACCUGAGAGGGUGAGCGGCCACACUGGAACUGAGACACGGUCCAGACUCCUACGGGAGGCAGCAGUAGGGAAUCUUUCGCAAUGGGCGAAAGCCUGACGGAGAAACGCCGAGUGAGUGAUGAAGGUCGUCGGAUCGUAAAACUCGGUUAUUAGGGAAGAACAUAUGUGUAAGUAACUGGGCACAUCUUGACGGUAACUAAUCAGAAAGCCACGGCUAACUACGUGC